rnacentral:rRNA from 1 species
AUUGAACGCUGGCGGCAGGCCUAACACAUGCAAGUCGAGCGGAUGAAGGGAGCUUGCUCCUGGCUUCAGCGGCGGACGGGUGAGUAAUGCCUAGGAAUCUGCCUGGCCGAGGGGGCUAACGUACCGACACGGGACCUAAUCCCACAUACGUCCAGAGUGUGAAAGGCGGGGAUCUUCGGACCUAAACCUUCCUGAUGAGCCUAGGACGGAUUAGCUAGUUGGUGGGGUAAAGGCCUACCAAGGCGACGAUCCGUAGCUGGUCUGAGAGGAUGAUCAGCCACACUGGAACUGAGACACGGUCCAGACUCCUACGGGAGGCAGCAGUGGGGAAUAUUGGACAAUGGGCGAAAGCCUGAUCCAGCCAUGCCGCGUGUGUGAAGAAGGUCUUCGGAUCGUAAAGCACUGUUAGUUGGGAGGAACAGAAGUAAGUUAAUCCCUUCCUGUUUUGACGUUACCAACAGAAUAAGCACCGGCUAACUUCGUG